UACAGAGGGGGCAAGCGUUAUUCGGAAUUAUUGGGCGUAAAGGGCGCGUAGGCGGUUCUUCAAGUCUCUCGUGAAAUCCCUCGGCUUAACUGAGGACGUGCGGGAGAUACUGAAGGGCUUGAGUCCGGAAGAGGGUGGUGGAAUUCCCAGUGUAGCGGUGAAAUGCGUAGAUAUUGGGAGGAACACCGGUGGCGAAGGCGGCCACCUGGGCCGGAACUGACGCUGAGGUGCGAAAGCGUGGGGAGCAAACAGG
rnacentral:rRNA from 1 species